CCCUCACUUUCAAUCUCCCUCUCCCAUUCCCUCUCUCACUCACCCUUGUCGUCUCCCUCUCUCGCUCCCUCUCCCUCUCUCAAUCUCGCUGCCAUUCUCGCGGGCUGCAACAAGUUCACAACCCUAAAAGGUUUUAUGAAGGUGUUGUGCAAUCUUAUAACCCAGGAAAGAAGAAACAUGUGAUACUAUAUGACGAUGGAGAUGUGGAAGUUCUCCAGUUAGAUAAGGAGCAGUGGGAGGUUAUUAGUGAAGGUUCCGAGCCUAGCAAGUGACUUAAAUCAUCGAAUGUUUCCCCAUCCAAAGGAAUGUCAGUAUCACUGUCAAAAGCUUUUCUUUCCAUGAUUCAGUUUUGUGUCUGCAUUUAUCCAACUUGUUUGGUAUUUUCUAAUGAAUUAUCCAACCCAUUUUGAUUUUUGGAUAUGUAGAUGAUCCUUUUUUAAUUUCUUCUCUCUUCAUUUGUAGAUUAUCAAAGCCUUUCCAUUUCCCAUAAUUUGUUUCAUUUAAUAGGAUUCACUGAAAGCUCUAACACCCUUCUUGAUGGACGGGUUCUUUUCAAGUAUAGAUGGGACAACGAAUUUUAAGUUCAAUCCAUGUUUCUUGAAAAGUUCAAUGACACGUGUCAACUACUGUAACACCCUAUGGUGGAGUAGACUAAAAUGUUUCUCUGAGAUUUCAAAAUUCACAAACUACAACUAGGGACCUGACCCAUUAGAACAUUUUUACUUCUCCUAGUUCCAUUG